UACGAAGGGGGCUAGCGUUGUUCGGAAUUACUGGGCGUAAAGCGCACGUAGGCGGAUACUUAAGUCAGGGGUGAAAUCCCGGGGCUCAACCCCGGAACUGCCUUUGAUACUGGGUAUCUCGAGUCCGGAAGAGGUGAGUGGAAUUCCGAGUGUAGAGGUGAAAUUCGUAGAUAUUGGGAAGAACACCGGUGGCGAAGGCGGCGCUCUGGACCGAGACUGACGCUGAGGCGCGAAAGCGUGGGGAGCAAACAGG
rnacentral:rRNA from 1 species